CCUACGGGAGGCAGCAGUGGGGAAUAUUGGGCAAUGGACGCAAGUCUGACCCAGCAACGCCGCGUGAAGGAAGAAGGCCCUAGGGUUGUAAAAUUUCUUUAAGGGGGAAGAGCAGAAGACGGUACCUCUUGAAUAAGCUACGGCUAACUACGUGCCAGCAGCCGCGGUAAUACGGAGGUUGCGAGCGUUGUCCGGAUUUAGUGGGUGUAAAGGGCGUGCAGCCGGUGAGACAAGUCAGAUGUGAAUUCCACGGGCUCAACCCGUGAACUGCAAUUGAAACUGGUUGCCUUGAGUGUCGGAGAGGUAGUCGGAAUUCCUGGUGUAGCGGUGAAAUGCGUAGAUAUAAGGAAGAACACCGAUGGCGAAGGCAGAUUACUAGACGAUAACUGACAGUGAGGCGCGAAAGCGUGGGGAGCAAACAGGAUUAGAUACCCCAGUAGUC
rnacentral:rRNA from 1 species